rnacentral:rRNA from 1 species
CCUACGGGAGGCAGCAGUGAGGAAUAUUGGUCAAUGGACGAGAGCCUGAACCAGCCAAGUAGCGUGAGGGAUGACUGCCCUAUGGGUUGUAAACUUCUUUUAUAUGGGAAUAAAGUGUGCUACGUGUGGGAUUUUGUAUGUACCAUAUGAAUAAGGAUCGGCUAACUCCGUGUCAGCAGCCGCGGUAAUACGGAGGAUCCGAGCGUUAUCCGGAUUUAUUGGGUUUAAAGGGUGCGUAGGUGGAUUGUUAAGUCAGUUGUGAAAGUUUGCGGCUCAAACGUAAAAUUGCAGUUGAAACUGGCAGUCUUGAGUACAGUAGAGGUAGGCGGAAUUCGUGGUGUAGCGGUGAAAUGCUUAGAUAUCACGAAGAACUCCGAUUGCGAAGGCAGCUCGCUGGGCUGUAACUGACGCUGAGGCUCGAAAGUGUGGGGAUCAAACAGGAUUAGAUACCCUAGUAGUC